rnacentral:rRNA from 1 species
UACGUAGGGGGCUAGCGUUGUCCGGAAUCAUUGGGCGUAAAGCGCGUGUAGGCGGUCCGGUAAGUCCGCUGUGAAAGUCGGGGGCUCAACCCUCGGAUGCCGGUGGAUACUGUCGGGCUUGAGUACGGAAGAGGCGAGUGGAAUUCCUGGUGUAGCGGUGAAAUGCGCAGAUAUCAGGAGGAACACCAGUGGCGAAGGCGACACGCUGGGUCACACCUGACGCUAAAGCGCGACAGCAUGGGGAGCGAACGGG